UAAUGAAGCCUUUAGAUUCAGACUUCCAAAUGGCUCAGCACUGGACACUGGAUUUUUUGGCAUAGACUCUAAGAAUAUUCAGGUCUUGUCUACUUUCUCAGGGACGAUCUUUGACUGUCUCACCAUGAAGUCACCUCCUCGCAAAUCUCAUUUGCUGUCUCAGAUUUCCCUGGCAAGAAGUCGAGCUUUACUGCACCCAGUGAAGGAGAACCUGUAGCAGCACCUAAACUGGGCUCUACUCCACUGAACGUCUGACAGUCCUGUUUCUUCCUACUGGUUCUGCCUUCAGAUGAGCACAGAACAUUGGGUGUGAGAUCUGCAUUUCCCAACAACUAUAGAGAGGGGAAGAUUAAUACAACCCAGGAGUUCAGGGGAGUUCGCUCAGGAGAAAAGUUGACCAACCAGGAAUAGGACAUGAGAGGGCAGGUUCUCUAGUUCACGCCCCAUCCCACUCCAACUGCUCCAAGGUGCAGGUCUUCCAUGAGACCUGCUAUGUUUUCCUGGGAAGUUAGGCCAGAUUCUUCCUGUCCCACAUUGUUUUUUGCUUUUCUUGCUUCUGUGCCUCAGUUUCCUAUUUGUCUCACUCUUGCUGCCUUGGGAUUGCCUACCUCUUCUCAGCCUGCCCCUUUUCCUUAAUAAAGAAUUAAGACAGAA